rnacentral:rRNA from 1 species
GACGAACGCUGGCGGCGUGCUUAACACAUGCAAGUCGAACGAGAGCGUAGAGACAGCUUGCUUUUUCUACAAUCUAGUGGCAAACGGGUGAGUAACGCGUAAACAACCUGCCCUACGGAUGGGGACAACAGCUGGAAACGGCUGCUAAUACCGAAUACGUUCCGAAAGUCGCAUGACUAUCGGAAGAAAGGCUGGCCUCUAUUUAUAAGCUAUCGCCGGAGGAGGGGUUUGCGUCUGAUUAGCUAGUUGGAGGGGUAACGGCCCACCAAGGCGACGAUCAGUAGCCGGUCUGAGAGGAUGAACGGCCACAUUGGAACUGAGACACGGUCCAGACUCCUACGGGAGGCAGCAGUGGGGAAUCUUCCGCAAUGGGCGAAAGCCUGACGGAGCAACGCCGCGUGAGUGAAGACGGCCUUCGGGUUGUAAAGCUCUGUUAUACGGGACGAAUAAUCUUGUGGUUAAUACCCAUGAGAAGUGACGGUACCGUAAGAGAAAGCCACGGCUAACUACGUG